rnacentral:misc_RNA from 1 species
GUGAAUCAUCGAAUUUUUGAACGCAAAUUGCACUUUCUGGUAUUCCGGGAAGUAUGCCUGUUUGAGGGUCAGGUAAAUAAAAAUCGUUGUUGUUUCUGCCUUGCGUGGUGACGGGUCUGAAUUGUGUCGUCUUACCUUCGGUUAAGUGAGUUAAAAUUUUUGCAUGUUUUUCUAACGUAUUUAAAGCG